GAUGGUCGUCUUAACAGAGCCUUGCUCUGUUGUUGCUCGUGAUCAGCACCUGGCAUCUGCUGCCAAAGACUCUGCCCACAUCAGAGACUCUUGAUGUCUGUCCGGAACAGACAAGCAAAGUGGAUCAGCAAAGGCUGCAGUCACCAGCAUCUUUUCCAACCUUAAUGAACUGUAUCCUCAAAAGAACACUAUCAGACUGGUAAGACAAGCAUUAUUGUCCCACUUCACAGAUGAAGAGCUUGGGGGCCCUGUGGAUGUGUAGGAGAGUCGGCCUUCCUUUUUAUAGGCCUUUUGCUGAGCUCAGAGGACAGAGCAGAAGACAAAGCCGAAAGCAGCCCUAAGCAGACACUAUCCCAGCCCAAGGAGCUAUGCAGACAGCUCCUGCCUAGAGGAGAAACAAUUCUCUCCUUCAGCCAGGCAUGUGGCACAGAGGUGAACAGGAAAUGCUUAGGGAGACAGUUCACAGAUAUAUAUGUACUUCACAGGGCACAAUUUAAUCCAUAAAUCAAUCAUGGAUCACUGCUAAAGAAAACAAAAUAUGCUGCCACUAAUUUGCCACCACCCUGUGAGCAUGAUUGGAUGAUGUUUAUUUUGAUUAGGAGAUUGCUCCAUUUAUAAAUCUUCAAUACAUCCUGUCCCCCUAAAACGGCAUCUGGAUCUUUUGAGGGUUAAAAAAAAAAAAA
ensembl:lncRNA CYTOR cytoskeleton regulator RNA